rnacentral:rRNA from 1 species
UGUAGCAAUACAAGGCAGACGGCUCAGUAACGCGUAGUCAACCUACCCUAUGGACGGGGAUAACCUCGGGAAACUGAGAAUAAUACCCGAUAGAACAUUAUACCUGGAAUGGUUUAUGUUUCAAAUAAUUUAUUGCCGUAGGAUGGGACUGCGGCCUAUCAGUUUGUUGGUGAGGUAAUGGCCCACCAAGACUAUUACAGGUACGGGCUCUGAGAGGAGUAGCCCGGAGAUGGGUACUGAGACACGGACCCAGGCCCUAUGGGGCGCAGCAGGCGAGAAAACUUUGCAAUGUGCGAAAGCACGACAAGGUUAAUCCGAGUGGUUUCUGCUAAAGGAACCUUUUGUCAGUCCUAGAAACACUGAUGAAUAAGGGGUGGGCAAGUUCUGGUGUCAGCCGCCGCGGUAAAACCAGCACCUCAAGUGGUCAGGAUGAUUAUUGGGCCUAAAGCAUCCGUAGCCUGCUUUGUUAGUUUUCGGUUAAAUCCAUACGCUCAACGUAUGGGCUGCCGGGAAUACUGCAAAGCUAGGGAGUGGGAGAGGUAGACGGUACUCGGUAGGAAGGGGUAAAAUCCUUUGAUCUAUUGAUGACCACCUGUGGCGAAGGCGGUCUACCAGAACACGUCCGACGGUGAGGGAUGAAAGCUGGGGGAGCAAACCGGAUUAGAUACCCGGGUAGUCCCAGCUGUAAACUAUGCAAACUCGGUGAUGCAUUGGCUUGAUGCCAAUGCAGUGCCGCAGGGAAGCCGUUAAGUUUGCCGCCUGGGAAGUACGUACGCAAGUGUGAAACUUAAAGGAAUUGGCGGGGGAGCACCACAAGGGGUGAAGCCUGCGGUUCAAUUGGA